GCUUUCAAAUUAUUUGAUGUAAGUACUCAAAUCCAACCAAUAUUUUAAAUUGUGAAAAACUAUGAUUGAAUGACUAUACAAAAUUGUUUUUAUUUUCUUUUAAAUUUUGUGUGCUGCAAUGAUAAUGGUUUGAAGCAAUUGACAUGAUAUAUAAUUGCUAUUUUCUUGGAUUGUGAGGAUCUGUUGUGGACUUGAAGUUGGUCUGAUUCAUACCACAAUCAUAGUUCAGUACUAAGUGGAUUUUUUUUUAUUCUUCCCAUCUUGUAUGUGGACUAUAUUUGUGAGGGUUGGGUGUGGAGUAUAUAUUGGUGAUGGUAUAUGGCUUAAAGGAAAAUGUCAAAACCAAGCACCCUCAAUUGUUGAUGAACAAAGGUUUCACAACUCAAAGGCAAAUAGGCAUUGAUACUACUAUGAAGAAUUUGAAGUUUUCUCACUGACAAAGGAUAAAUACAAGACUAUGGGAUUUGGACUAUUUGGAAAAAUAGAAAUGGUACAGUUUUAGCUAAUGGAGCGAAGGACCUUUAGCAGACGGGUGCUUUUUAAUGUUGCUGCUGUGUUUCUUUUGCUGGUGCGGCUGGUGCUUGCAGUGUGGAUGUUGGCUAAAUUUCACGGUGUUUGGAAGUUGUUCAUUAGCUUUGCUUUUGUUGAGAACUGCAUGUAUCUAUUGGCCUUCUUGUGCGCUUCAGGGCUUGCAAGGUUAUAUUUUGGUUCUGUGCUUAGUGAUAUGUUGACUACGUGUCUCGUCAGUUGUGUGAGAUGCUUUUUGUUUUGGUUGAAGCCAUUUUAGAGUUUCUUUCUUAGUAUUUUGGUUUGUGCUAAUUUUUGUAACAGGGAGGGGUUUUAGUGGCUUUGUAGUUUAAUGGUUUUGAGCUUCUUGCAAAUUGCAAAUGGCUUUGUAGUUUAGUGGUUUUGUCUUUGUAAAGUUGUUUAGAGCCAUAAUGUAGUAUCAAGUGAUUUGAACUAAGUUGAAGUAAUUUUUAUGUAAUAGAAUUUACUAUGCAAUUGAUGGCUUUAAGAGCACUCAAAAAUAACAUUUUUUUUCAUCGA